CAGGCUUAACACAUGCAAGUCGAGGGGCAGCAUGGUCUUAGCUUGCUAAGGCCGAUGGCGACCGGCGCACGGGUGAGUAACACGUAUCCAACCUGCCGUCUACUCUUGGACAGCCUUCUGAAAGGAAGAUUAAUACAAGAUGGCAUCAUGAGUCCGCAUGUUCACAUGAUUAAAGGUAUUCCGGUAGACGAUGGGGAUGCGUUCCAUUAGAUAGUAGGCGGGGUAACGGCCCACCUAGUCUUCGAUGGAUAGGGGUUCUGAGAGGAAGGUCCCCCACAUUGGAACUGAGACACGGUCCAAACUCCUACGGGAGGCAGCAGUGAGGAAUAUUGGUCAAUGGGCGAGAGCCUGAACCAGCCAAGUAGCGUGAAGGAUGACUGCCCUAUGGGUUGUAAACUUCUUUUAUAAAGGAAUAAAGUCGGGUAUGCAUACCCGUUUGCAUGUACUUUAUGAAUAAGGAUCGGCUAACUCCGUGCCAGCAGCCGCGGUAAUACGGAGGAUCCGAGCGUUAUCCGGAUUUAUUGGGUUUAAAGGGAGCGUAGAUGGAUGUUUAAGUCAGUUGUGAAAGUUUGCGGCUCAACCGUAAAAUUGCAGUUGAUACUGGAUAUCUUGAGUGCAGUUGAGGCAGGCGGAAUUCGUGGUGUAGCGGUGAAAUGCUUAGAUAUCACGAAGAACUCCGAUUGCGAAGGCAGCCUGCUAAGCUGCAACUGACAUUGAGGCUCGAAAGUGUGGGUAUCAAACAGGAUUAGAUACCCUGGUAGUCCACACGGUAAACGAUGAAUACUCGCUGUUUGCGAUAUACGGCAAGCGGCCAAGCGAAAGCGUUAAGUAUUCCACCUGGGGAGUACGCCGGCAACGGUGAAACUCAAAGGAAUUGACGGGGGCCCGCACAAGCGGAGGAACAUGUGGUUUAAUUCGAUGAUACGCGAGGAACCUUACCCGGGCUUAAAUUGCAGAUGAAUUACGGUGAAAGCCGUAAGCCGCAAGGCAUCUGUGAAGGUGCUGCAUGGUUGUCGUCAGCUCGUGCCGUGAGGUGUCGGCUUAAGUGCCAUAACGAGCGCAACCCUUGUUGUCAGUUACUAACAGGUUCCGCUGAGGACUCUGACAAGACUGCCAUCGUAAGAUGUGAGGAAGGUGGGGAUGACGUCAAAUCAGCACGGCCCUUACGUCCGGGGCUACACACGUGUUACAAUGGGGGGUACAGAGGGCCGCUACCACGCGAGUGGAUGCCAAUCCCAAAAACCUCUCUCAGUUCGGACUGGAGUCUGCAACCCGACUCCACGAAGCUGGAUUCGCUAGUAAUCGCGCAUCAGCCACGGCGCGGUGAAUACGUUCCCGGGCCUUGUACACACCGCCCGUCAAGCCAUGGGAGCCGGGGGUACCUGAAGUGCGUAACCGCGAGGAGCGCCCUAGGGUAAAACUGGUGACUGGGGC
rnacentral:rRNA from 1 species